AUGAUUUACUGGGACACACGGGGAGAGAGGGCGAGGUACUGGAGACGUGAUCGACACCGACUACAUACAUUCUACACGGCCUCAACAGUAUUUGAGCAUUCAUAUAUUAACAAAUGUCUCAAGAGCGUGUUCACAUCAUACCUAGACCGCCGCCUGGAUACCAAACUGUGGUAAAAAUCAGAAAACGAUUUCAAGACAAUCCUAUGUCAUUGGAACUUUCAAUCUCGGAAGAACCAAUCGACUCACAAGUUUUGGAUGUCAACACGUCGUCGUCCACCAUCACUGCUCGUUGCCCGAGUCCGCGUGUUGGAUCAGUGGCUCGACCAACACGAACAUGAAGACGUCCAAAGCAGUUGAUCAUGGAUCCAAGCCGGAAAAAAUAUGA
ensembl:ncRNA D1022.17 ncRNA